AUGUACAGAAAGGAUAAUCGGCCGGUUGCUUGUGUUUACUCCUCGGAGGCUGGUGUGUGGGGCAAUCUUAUUUCCACAGACGCUCGAUGCGGGCUUGUUGAUGCUAAUCCCGGGAUUCUUGUUGGUAAUGUCCUUUACUGGUCGUCUAAGUCUGUGUGUGACGGUGAAGGUUUGUGGGGUUUAGAUAGGCUCACAAAUGAUAUAAUUGAGUUUGAUUUGGAUACACAUAGCCUAGCUGUGAUCAAGGGGCCUCCCUGUCUCAAUAACUCACUCAGACAUCAGAUCAUCAAGGCAGACGAUGGUUCUGUUGGUCUCACCGUGGUGUUUUAUGGUAGAUUUGAAAUGUGGCAGAGGAAGAUUGAUCGUCAUGGUGUUGCCACAUGGUUAAAUCACAAGAGCAUUCAAAUGCAUCUUGUUCUUGGGCUCUCUCAUCAGCUUGAGAGAUUGACGAGAUGGAUACAAAUUAUGGGGUAUGAUGAGGAUAAUGGUGUAAUAUUUUUACAUGUGGAUGCCAGUGUCUACAUGGUUCAACUGAUGUCGAUGCAAUCCAAGAAACUUUAUCGAAGCUAUACUCCCAAUUAUAGAUGUCACCCUUUCACAAGUUUCUAUGCGCCAGGAACGGUCUGCGCAUUUAAAAAUUAUGUGGCUUUGUUUAUUAUUCCAUUCCUGGUGGAUGCAAUGGAGCUGAGAUGUUGCACGAUAUGUAGGAUGACUGUCUGGUUGCAUGUGAUAAUGUGCUCGAAUGGUUCAACAGGUAACAAGAUCUUCGAGAUAUAG
rnacentral:rRNA from 1 species